rnacentral:lncRNA from 11 species
AGGAAUCAGGCUCCACGUGGAGCUGGCUUGUGUCCCUUUGAUCCUUUUGCCUCCCCUGUAAAGCAAGCAGUGGGAUUGGGGGGAAAGGAAGAAGGGAGAAGGGGGAAAGGAGCGAGGGAGUGUGGGGAGAAGCCAAGCCACUGUGACCCACUCACUGCCUUCCCAUUUUAGGCAGAUUAUUUUGAGGAGCAAUUUGUGCAUAGUUCUUCUAUUAAACACCAGCUUUAAUUUAACCUUUGAUGAAUCCAUGUCUCUCAGCACCGGGAAGAACAAAAGUACAUGGCUCAAGAAUAUAGCAAGGAUACAAGGUAUGGC